rnacentral:rRNA from 1 species
GACGAACGCUGGCGGCGUGCUUAACACAUGCAAGUCGAACGGAAAGGCCCUGCUUUUGUGGGGUGCUCGAGUGGCGAACGGGUGAGUAACACGUGAGUAACCUGCCCUUGACUUUGGGAUAACUUCAGGAAACUGGGGCUAAUACCGGAUAGGAGCUCCUGCUGCAUGGUGGGGGUUGGAAAGUUUCGGCGGUUGGGGAUGGACUCGCGGCUUGUCAGCUUGUUGGUGGGGUAGUGGCUUACCAAGGCUUUGACGGGUAGCCGGCCUGAGAGGGUGACCGGCCAAAUUGGGACUGAGAUACGGCCCAGACUCCUACGGGAGGCAGCGGUGGGGAAUAUUGCACAAUGGGCGGAAGCCUGAUGCGGCAACGCCGCGUGCGGGAUGACGGCCUUCGGGUUGUAAACCGCUUUCGCCUGUGACGAAGCGUGAGUGACGGUAAUGGGUAAAGAAGCACCGGCUAACUACGUG